GGGGGUUUAGCUCAGUGGUAGAGCACUUGCCUAGCAAGCACAAGGCCCUGGGUUCGGUCCCCAGCUCCG
rfam:Rattus norvegicus chromosome 13, whole genome shotgun sequence.